UGGUAGAGUGAAACUGCGGAUAGCUCAUUACAACGCCUCUAUUUUAUUUGAUAGUCAUCUACAGGAUAACCGUAGAAAAUCUAGAGCUAAUACUUGCAUUGAUAUCCAGUUUUGACUAGCUGGAUGCAUUUAUUAGAUAUCCGAUCGCACGGUGUCGUAAGACAUCAGGUGAAAGGUGAUUCUAGAUGACUUUGCUGAUCGUAUGGCUUAAUGCCGACGACAGAUCAAAUAAAAUCGCGCCCUAUCAAUUUGUAGUUAGGAUAUUUUCCUAACUAGAUUGCGACGGGUGACGGGGAAUCAGGGUCGAUUCCGGAGAGGCAGCUUGAGAUAUCGCUACCACAUCUAAGGAAGGCAGCAGGCGCGCAAAUUACCCACUCCCGAACUGGGGAGGUAGUGACGAGAAAUAUCGGUCUUACUCUUUGAGCAAAAGACCGGAAUGGACGAAAUUUAGGUCCAUUCGUGAAAUACUAGCGAGGGGCAAGUCUGGUGCCAGCAGCCGCGGUAAUUCCAGCCUCGCACGUACAUGUAAAAUUUGUUGCAUUUAAAAAGCUCGUAGUCGGACUGUUUCACGACAUUUUGUUCAAAGCCAGUUGCAACUCGGCCUUGGCCAGUUACGAAGGGUUUUGAACUGGCCUUCAAUGGGUCAUUGCAACUGGAUGAAUAGUCGUGAACARUCACAAAUUUCACCCAUACACUUAAAUGUGUGUGCUGGUGUAGGUUUGUGGACGUACCUUGAACAAAUCGGUUUGUUCAAAACAGGCCAUAUCGAGCGCCUGGACAUUCGAGCAUGGAAUGAUCGAUCGAGACCUGAUCGUUUGGUCGGAGUAACGAGUAAGGUCCAGGUCAAAAGGGACAUUUGAGGGCAUACGAACUCGGCAGCGAGAGGUGAAAUUCUAAGACCUGCCGAGGUCGAACUAAAGCGAAAGCAUUUGCCAAGAAUGUUUUCAUUGAUCAAGAACGAAAGUUGGAGGAUCAAAAACGAUCUAGAUACCGUUGUAGUUCCAACUUUAAACUAUGCCGACUGUAGGGGCCAGUUCGGUAUAUUCCG
rnacentral:rRNA from 1 species